CCCUGGUUAGCUCAGUUGGUAGAGCAAUCCACUGGAAAUGGAGAGGUCCCGGGUUCGAUACACAGACCAAGUG
rnacentral:tRNA from 1 species